AGCGAACGCUGGCGGCAGGCUUAACACAUGCAAGUCGAGCGGGCCCUUCGGGGUCAGCGGCAGACGGGUGAGUAACACGUGGGAACGUACCCUUUGGUUCGGAAUAACGCUGGGAAACUAGCGCUAAUACCGGAUACGCCCUUUUGGGGAAAGGCUUGCUGCCGAAGGAUCGGCCCGCGUCUGAUUAGCUAGUUGGUGGGGUAAUGGCCUACCAAGGCGACGAUCAGUAGCUGGUCUGAGAGGAUGAUCAGCCACACUGGGACUGAGACACGGCCCAGACUCCUACGGGAGGCAGCAGUGGGGAAUAUUGGACAAUGGGCGCAAGACUGAUCCAGCCAUGCCGCGUGAGUGAUGAAGGCCUUAGGGUUGUAAAGCUCUUUUGUCCGGGACGAUAAUGACGGUACCGGAAGAAUAAGCCCCGGCUAACUUCGUG
rnacentral:rRNA from 1 species